rnacentral:tRNA from 1 species
AGUUAAGAUAAGCUAACAAAGCUUUUGGGCCCAUACCCCAAAAAGAGGAUAGUACCCUUCUCUUACCA